AUUGAACGCUGGCGGAAUGCUUUACACAUGCAAGUCGAGCGGCAGCGCGGGGCAACCUGGCGGCGAGCGGCGAACGGGUGAGUAACAUAUCGGAACGUAUCCUUAAGUGGGGGACAACCUAGCGAAAGUUAGGCUAAUACCGCAUACGCAGGGAACUGGAAAGGUGGGGGAUCGCAAGACCUCACGCUUUUGGAGCGGCCGAUAUCAGAUUAGCUUGUUGGUGAGGAAAGGCUCACCAAGGCGACGAUCUGUAGCUGGUCUGAGAGGAUGAUCAGCCACACUGGGACUGAGACACGGCCCAGACUCCUACGGGAGGCAGCAGGUGGGAAUUUUGGACAAUGGGGGCAACCCUGAUCCAGCCAUUCCGCGUGAGUGAAGAA
rnacentral:rRNA from 1 species